GACGAACGCUGGCGGCGUGCCUAAUACAUGCAAGUUGAGCGCUGAAGGUUGGUACUUGUACCAACUGGAUGAGCAGCGAACGGGUGAGUAACGCGUGGGGAAUCUGCCUUUGAGCGGGGGACAACAUUUGGAAACGAAUGCUAAUACCGCAUAAAAACUUUAAACACAAGUUUUAAGUUUGAAAGAUGCAAUUGCCUCACUCAAAGAUGAUCCCGCGUUGUAUUAGCUAGUUGGUGAGGUAAAGGCUCACCAAGGCGAUGAUACAUAGCCGACCUGAGAGGGUGAUCGGCCCCAUUGGGACUGAGACACGGCCCAAACUCCUACGGGAGGCAGCAGUAGGGAAUCUUCGGCAAUGGACGAAAGUCUGACCGAGCAACGCCGCGUGAGUGAAGAAGGUUUUCGGAUCGUAAAACUCUGUUGGUAGAGAAGAACGUUGGUGAGAGUGGAAAGCUCAUCAAGUGACGGUAACUACCCAGAAAGGGACGGCUAACUACGUG
rnacentral:rRNA from 1 species